UCGGAGUUCUGCCGUUAGCUGAAAAGCAUGCUACGUACAACUGUAUUACUUUGUAUAUUAUGACUGACAAUCUUUCGAAGACGAAGACGAACUUCUUUUGCAUAUGUAUGUACAUUGUAUAUCAGUGUAUAUACAACUGCGUUAGUUUAAAAAUUCAGAAGCUACAUUGCCUAGUUUGCCUGUCAAAGUAUCUGAAGCAGUUACAACGUAAACAACACCACAUCAUCAAAUUAACAACUUUCGACUGUAAAGUUUUACGUUGAUUUUAAAAUCUCGUCUUUGAAAAAAGUUUGUGUCGACCAGCUAAUUAAGUUGAAGACAGAAUGAUCCAUUAAACUCAAGAGUGACGGAAACUAAGUUAUAUCUAGUUUGUUUCUGAAUUCCUUCUUCGCCUUUCU
rnacentral:lncRNA from 1 species